AUUGAACGCUGGCGGCAUGCCUUACACAUGCAAGUCGAACGGCAGCACGGGGGCAACCCUGGUGGCGAGUGGCGAACGGGUGAGUAAUACAUCGGAACGUGCCCAGUAGUGGGGGAUAGCCCGGCGAAAGCCGGAUUAAUACCGCAUACGCCCUACGAGUGAAAGCGGGGGAGCGCAAGACCUCGCGCUAUUGGAGCGGCCGAUGUGAGAUUAGGUUGUUGGUGAGGUAAAAGCUCACCAAGCCGACGAUCUGUAGCUGGUCUGAGAGGACGACCAGCCACACUGGGACUGAGACACGGCCCAGACUCCUACGGGAGGCAGCAGUGGGGAAUUUUGGACAAUGGGGGCAACCCUGAUCCAGCCAUGCCGCGUGCGGGAAGAAGGCCUUCGGGUUGUAAACCGCUUUUGUCAGGGAAGAAAUCUCUUGGGCUAAUACCCCAGAAGGAUGACGGUACCUGAAGAAUAAGCACCGGCUAACUACGUGCCAGCAGCCGCAGUAAGAC
rnacentral:rRNA from 1 species